rnacentral:tRNA from 1 species
CCCCUUGUGGUGUAGUUGGCUAUCACGUUCGGCUGUAAUGGAUAUUAUGAAACCGAAAGGUCACCGGCUCGAUUCCGGUCGAGGGGA